rnacentral:rRNA from 1 species
AUGGAGGAGACAGAUGGAGAGGAAGAAGAUAUGGAAACUAAACUGCAAUGCCUCCCUGAAGAUUUGGCUAUGGCUAUUGGCUCUGUGAAGAGAUCAUUAAUUGAAUCUAUGGACAAUGCAGAAUCAGAAAAGAAGAAGAAACUCAACACUGAAACCAAAACUGCUUGGGGCCCAGUUCUGACUAAUAGGCCUAAAACCAGAGGUCAUGUAAAUGUGAAGAUCAUGGACAAGGCAAAUGCUUACUUGCUGAAGAAGAACCUGGAAGUUCCUACUACUUUCAAAGGGGCGUACCUGGAGAGAUGCCAGAUGUGUCGUAUCAAAACUAAGCUUAUAUCUGCUGCAAUGGAAAGUUCUCUGCGAUGA